UAACACAAGAAAAUAGAGCGCGAAAGGGAGAGCCAACUCUCCCGAGUAGAGUUUCCCCCGGGUGAGUAACGCGUGGGUAACCUGCCCCCGGGCGGGGGAUAACUAAUCGAAAGGAUGGCUACCACCGCAUGAGACCACAGGGUCUUCGGAUCCUGAGGCCAAAGGCGGCGCCGGCUUGCCGGCGCUGUGACCUGGGGAUGGGCCCGACUACGAUUAGCUAGUUGGUAGGGUACCCGCCUACCAAGGCUCCGAUCGUUAGCUCGUCUGAGAGGAUGGCCAGCCACACUGGAACUGAAACACGGUCCAGACUCCUACGGGAGGCAGCAGUGGG
rnacentral:sRNA from 1 species